rnacentral:rRNA from 1 species
AGAGUUUGAUUAUGGCUCAGAACGAACGCUGGCGGCAGGCCUAAGACAUGCAAGUCGUACGAGAAAGCCCUUUCGGGGGUGAGUAGAGUGGCGAACGGGUUAGUAACGCGUGGGAACAUACACAGCACAGGGGGAUAACCAUUGGAAACGAUGGCUAAUACCGCAUACGCCCUAUGGGGGAAAGAUUUAUCGGUGUUGGAUUGGCCCGCGUUAGAUUAGCUAGUUGGUGGGGUAAUGGCCUACCAAGGCGACGAUUUAUAGCUGGUUUGAGAGGAUGAUCAGCAACACUGAAACUGAGACACGGUCCAGACUCCUACGGGAGGCAGCAGUCGGGAAUAUUGUGCAAUGGGGGCAACCCUGACACAGCCAUGCCGCGUGAGUGAAGAAGGCCUUAGGGUUGUAAAGCUCUUUCAGAUGUGAGGAUGAUGACGAUAGCAUCACAAGAAGCUCCGGCUAACUUCGUGCCAGCAGCCGCGGUAAUACGAAGGGAGCAAGCGUUGUUCGGAAUUACUGGGCGUAAAGGGCGUGUAGGCGGAUUAUCAAGUUAGGGGUGAAAUCCCGGGGCUCAACCUCGGCACUGCCUUUAAGACUGAUAAUCUAGAGUAUGUGAGGGGAUAAUGGAAUACCUAGUGUAGAGGUGAAAUUCGUAGAUAUUAGGUGGAACACCAGUGGCGAAGGCGAUUAUCUGGCACAUUACUGACGCUGAGGCGCGAAAGCGUGGGGAGCAAACGGGAUUAGAUACCCCGGUAGUCCACGCCGUAAACGAUGUAUACUAGUUGUCGGGCAUUGGUUCGGUGACGCAGCUAACGCAUUAAGUAUACCGCCUGGGGAGUACGGUCGCAAGAUUAAAACUCAAAGAAAUUGACGGGGACCCGCACAAGCGGUGGAGCAUGUGGUUUAAUUCGAAGCAACGCGAAGAACCUUACCCACCUUUGACAUGGUAGUUUGGGGUAUUGGAGACAAUAUCUUUCAGUUCGGCUGGGCUACACACAGGUGCUGCAUGGCUGUCGUCAGCUCGUGUCGUGAGAUGUUGGGUUAAGUCCCGCAACGAGCGCAACCCU